UACGUAGGUGGCAAGCGUUAUCCGGAAUUAUUGGGCGUAAAGCGCGCGCAGGCGGUUUUUUAAGUCCGAUGUGAAAGCCCACCGCUCAACCGUGGAGGGUCAUUGGAAACUGGAAAACUUGAGUGCAGAAGAGGAAAGUGGAAUUCCAUGUGUAGCGGUGAAAUGCGCAGAGAUAUGGAGGAACACCAGUGGCGAAGGCGGCUUUCUGGUCUGUAACUGACGCUGAUGUGCGAAAGCGUGGGGAUCAAACAGG
rnacentral:rRNA from 1 species